GCGGAUGUGGCGGAAUUGGCAGACGCGCAGGCUUCAGGUGCCUGUGCCCCUUAGGGGCGUGGAGGUUCGACUCCUCUCAUCCGCA
rnacentral:tRNA from 1 species